rnacentral:snRNA from 1 species
AAUCGUACCUGCGAGUUAA